rnacentral:rRNA from 1 species
AUUGAACGCUGGCGGCAUGCUUUACACAUGCAAGUCGAACGGUAACAGGUCUUCGGAUGCUGACGAGUGGCGAACGGGUGAGUAAUACAUCGGAACGUGCCUAGUAGUGGGGGAUAACUACUCGAAAGAGUGGCUAAUACCGCAUGAGAUCUACGGAUGAAAGCAGGGGACCUUCGGGCCUUGUGCUACUAGAGCGGCUGAUGGCAGAUUAGGUAGUUGGUGGGGUAAAGGCUUACCAAGCCUGCGAUCUGUAGCUGGUCUGAGAGGACGACCUGACACCCUGGGACUGAGACACCGCCCAGACUCCUACGGGAGGGAGCAGGGGGGAAUUUUGGCCAAUGGGCGAAAGCCUGAUCCAGCAAUGCCGCGUACAGGAUGAAGGCCCUCGGGUUGUAAACUGCUUUUGUACGGAACGAAAAGCCUGGGGCUAAUAUCCCCGGGUCAUGACGGUACCGUAAGAAUAAGCACCGGCUAACUACGUGCCAGCCGCCGCCGUAACAC